UGGGGAAUAUUGCACAAUGGGCGCAAGCCUGAUGCAGCCAUGCCGCGUGUGUGAAGAAGGCCUUCGGGUUGUAAAGCACUUUCAGCGAGGAGGAAGGUGGUGGACUUAAUACGUUCAUCAAUUGACGUUACUCGCAGAAGAAGCACCAGCUAACUCCGUGCCAGCAGCCGCGGUAAUACGGAGGGUGCAAGCGUUAAUCGGAAUUACUGGGCGUAAAGCGCACGCAGGCGGUUUGUUAAGUCAGAUGUGAAAUCCCCGGGCUCAACCUGGGAACUGCAUUUGAAACUGGCAAGCUAGAGUCUCGUAGAGGGGGGUAGAAUUCCAGGUGUAGCGGUGAAAUGCGUAGAGAUCUGGAGGAAUACCGGUGGCGAAGGCGGCCCCCUGGACGAAGACUGACGCUCAGGUGCGAAAAGCGUGGGGAGCAAAACAGGAUUAGAUACCCUGGUAGUCCACGCUGUAAAACGAUGUCGAUUUUGGAGGUUGUGCCCUUGAGGCGUGGCUUCCGGAGCUAACGCGUUAAAUCGACCGCCUGGGGAGUACGGCCGCAAGGUU
rnacentral:rRNA from 1 species